rnacentral:rRNA from 1 species
CCGGCGGUCAAGGAUGGACUCGCGUCCGUAUCAGGCUUGUUGGUGGGGGUAAUGGCCCACCAAGGCGACGACGGGUAGCCGGCCUGAGAGGGCGACCGGCCACAUUGGGACUGAGAUACGGCCCAAACUCCUACGGGAGGCAGCAGUGGGAAUAUUGCACAAUGGGCGCAAGCCUGAUGCAGCAACGCCGCGUGCGGGAAGACGGCCUUCGGGUUGUAAACCGCUUUCAGCAGGGACGAAGUGAAAAUGACGGUACCUGCAGAAGAAGCACCGGCUAACUACGUGCCAGCAGCCGCGGUGAUACGUAGGGUGCGAGCGUUGUCCGGAUUUAUUGGGCGUAAAGAGCUUGUAGGCGGUCAGUUGCGUCGAAAGUGCAAACUCAGGGCUUAACCCUGAGCCUGCUUUACGAUACGGGCUGACUAGAGGAAGGUAGGGGAG